ACCUUAACUUUCACAAAAGCGUCACUGUAGGUCAGACAGGCUUUAUUUUGACAAAACAAAUAAUCUUGCGUUUCACAGCUGACAUCGAAAAAAAUUAAGUCGUAAUACAAGUUGAAUUAUAAAUUUAAAAUAAAGAAACAAAAUGACUUCGACAAUGAAAUCAUUUAAAGAAAGGCGAACCUAUGCACAACGUGUAGCUGAUGUAGAGCUCAUAAAGAAACAACAUCCAAACAAAGUUCCUAUAAUUGUUGAGAGAUAUUAUGCAGAAAAAUUAUUGCCACUUUUGGAUAAAUCGAAAUUUCUAGUUCCUGAUCAUCUACCAGUUGCAGAACUGAUUAAAAUUAUAAGACGUCGAUUGCAACUAAAUCCAACACAAGCAUUCUUUUUAUUGGUGAAUCAAAGGUGUAUGGCUAGUGGUAGUAUGACUAUGGCUCAACUUUAUCAACGCGAAAAAGAUGAAGAUGGCUUUCUUUAUAUCGUGUUUGCGAGUCAAGAAGUUUUUGGCCACUUAGAGUAAGAAUUUUUCCCUUUUUAUUAAAGAUAAUUGUACAGCUUUUUAAAUUUAAUUAAAUAUUUUGUUUUCUGUCUAAUAACGUCAGAAUUUCUGGGUGUUAAAACUAUUACAAGUUUUGCUUGUAAAUAAAUGGUAAAUCCACAAUAUUAGAAGUUGGAGGAAUUUGUUAUAUCAAGAAAAAAAAAGCCUUCUUCAGAGACAUCGUGCAAUUUCCAAUUAAAUUGAUUGCAGGAAAUAAUAAUUGUUCUUCAUGAAAUAACUACUGAAAAAAUAAGUUUUUUUUUUUAGGAAAAUUUGAUUUUAAGAUAAUAGAGAGAAAGAAAGGAAGAGAGAGAAAAUGAAACUGUGAAUUAUCAAGCUCGUGUAUCUAUAAAAAAAAAUUAGAUAUACCAAAACCUAACUAUGACUAUGAAUGUUUAACUUUAAAGACGAUAUUACAUUCUAAGAUUUUAGGAUAGAAAAAAAUAGUGAAAUAUUUGCGUGACUUAUAAGUCGUAUUGUAUAUAAAGAUGUCCUCUUUAAAAAAAAAAAAAUUUUAAUCAGCACAAACUGAGAAAAAUGCAAAAAAUACAGAUUAAUCACAAAAGUCAUGUCAUUUCCAAAAUAUAAAUUUUAAAAGUGAGAUUUCAAGACACGUAAUGUACCUGAUAAACAGUCAUUGUUUUUUUUUCGUUCCAAAGUAUAUAUAUAUAUAUAUAGCAUAUAUAUGUGUGAAAACUACUAGUAGUUUUAAUCUCUGAUCUGAAAAUGCGAUAUUUGCUCCUUUUUCAAGGAUAUUUAGAUAAUUUCAAAAAAAAAAAUUUAAAUAAACUGAAAAAAAAGAGUUGAGAAAUAAUUUACGAUUUUUUAUCCCAAUGUAUAUUUAAUUCAUACUGUGUAAAAAGUUUUCUUCUCUUUUUCAAAUGUAUGUAGUUUAAUAUAUAUGCAGAGGACACAAAUCUAUAUGAUAAUAUUAUAAGUGAGCAUUAUCUUACGAAUUAUAAAUUCGUAGAAUUUAAUUUUUUAUUUAAAAAUUUUUUUUUCAUAAAUUUCGAAUUUAAUUUUAGUUCUCAACGAUUAUAUAUAUAUACAAUUUUCUCUAUAAAUAUUUGUGAGCAAAAUAAUUUUGUGAUGUUACAUUAUAUUUUUAACUUUAUUUUUAGUUUUCGUUUAUAUAAUAUUUGACAAAAAAAAAAAAAAAAAAUGAUACUUUUAAUUUAUUAUAUUGACAAUGUAAAACAUAUUGUGCGAAAAAUGAGUCAUUUUCUAUAUAUAUAUGAAUCGAAUUCUGAACAGAAAGUGUAUAUUUUUUUAUUGCGAAAAAAAGUACACAUUAUUGUCACCGAUAUAAUUGCGUAUAAUUCAGAAAUAAAAUAGAAAAUGAAUAUAUAAAUAUAGAAUUUUUUUUUCAUAUUCUAUUAUAAAAUAGAUCUAUUUAUUAGUACAUUUAAUUUUUAAUGACAAUAUAUAAUAAAUAAAAAGUG